rnacentral:siRNA from 1 species
GUCGCUGCCGUGAUCGUGGUCU